AUUGAACGCUGGCGGCAUGCCUUACACAUGCAAGUCGAACGGCAGCGGACCUUCGGGUGCCGGCGAGUGGCGAACGGGUGAGUAAUAUAUCGGAACGUACCUUUCAGUGGGGGAUAACGUAGCGAAAGUUACGCUAAUACCGCAUAUUCUGUGAGCAGGAAAGCAGGGGAUCGCAAGACCUUGCGCUGAUUGAGCGGCCGAUAUCAGAUUAGCUAGUUGGUGAGGUAAAGGCUCACCAAGGCGACGAUCUGCAGCGGGUCUGAGAGGAUGAUCCGCCACACUGGAACUGAGACACGGUCCAGACUCCUACGGGAGGCAGCAGUGGGGAAUUUUGGACAAUGGGCGCAAGCCUGAUCCAGCCAUGCCGCGUGAGUGAAGAAGGCC
rnacentral:rRNA from 1 species